rnacentral:rRNA from 1 species
AUUGAAGAGUUUGAUCAUGGCUCAGAUUGAACGCUGGCGGCAGGCCUAACACAUGCAAGUCGAACGGUAACAGGAAGCAGCUUGCUGUUUUGCUGACGAGUGGCGGACGGGUGAGUAAUGUCUGGGAAACUGCCUGAUGGAGGGGGAUAACUACUGGAAACGGUAGCUAAUACCGCAUAACGUCGCAAGACCAAAGAGGGGGACCUUAGGGCCUCUUGCCAUCGGAUGUGCCCAGAUGGGAUUAGCUAGUAGGUGGGGUAACGGCUCACCUAGGCGACGAUCCCUAGCUGGUCUGAGAGGAUGACCAGCCACACUGGAACUGAGACACGGUCCAGACUCCUACGGGAGGCAGCAGUGGGGAAUAUUGCACAAUGGGCGCAAGCCUGAUGCAGCCAUGCCGCGUGUAUGAAGAAGGCCUUCGGGUUGUAAAGUACUUUCAGCGGGGAGGAAGGGAGUAAAGUUAAUACCUUUGCUCAUUGACGUUACCCGCAGAAGAAGCACCGGCUAACUCCGUGCCAGCAGCCGCGGUAAUACGGAGGGUGCAAGCGUUAAUCGGAAUUACUGGGCGUAAAGCGCACGCAGGCGGUUUGUUAAGUCAGAUGUGAAAUCCCCGGGCUCAACCUGGGAACUGCAUCUGAUACUGGCAAGCUUGAGUCUCGUAGAGGGGGUAGAAUUCCAGGUGUAGCGGUGAAAUGCGUAGAGAUCUGGAGGAAUACCGGUGGCGAAGGCGGCCCCCUGGACGAAGACUGACGCUCAGGUGCGAAAGCGUGGGGAGCAAACAGGAUUAGAUACCCUGGUAGUCCACGCCGUAAACGAUGUCGACUUGGAGGUUGUGCCCUUGAGGCGUGGCUUCCGGAGCUAACGCGUUAAGUCGACCGCCUGGGGAGUACGGCCGCAAGGUUAAAACUCAAAUGAAUUGACGGGGGCCCGCACAAGCGGUGGAGCAUGUGGUUUAAUUCGAUGCAACGCGAAGAACCUUACCUGGUCUUGACAUCCACGGAAGUUUUCAGAGAUGAGAAUGUGCCUUCGGGAACCGUGAGACAGGUGCUGCAUGGCUGUCGUCAGCUCGUGUUGUGAAAUGUUGGGUUAAGUCCCGCAACGAGCGCAACCCUUAUCCUUUGUUGCCAGCGGUCCGGCCGGGAACUCAAAGGAGACUGCCAGUGAUAAACUGGAGGAAGGUGGGGAUGACGUCAAGUCAUCAUGGCCCUUACGACCAGGGCUACACACGUGCUACAAUGGCGCAUACAAAGAGAAGCGACCUCGCGAGAGCAAGCGGACCUCAUAAAGUGCGUCGUAGUCCGGAUUGGAGUCUGCAACUCGACUCCAUGAAGUCGGAAUCGCUAGUAAUCGUGGAUCAGAAUGCCACGGUGAAUACGUUCCCGGGCCUUGUACACACCGCCCGUCACACCAUGGGAGUGGGUUGCAAAAGAAGUAGGUAGCUUAACCUUCGGGAGGGCGCUUACCACUUUGUGAUUCAUGACUGGGGUGAAGUCGUAACAAGGUAACCGUAGGGGAACCUGCGGUUGGAUCACCUCCU